GCUUGUCUCAAAGAUUAAGCCAUGCAUGUCUAAGUAUAAGCAUUAUACAGUGAAACUGCGAAUGGCUCAUUAUAUCAGUUAUAGUUUAUUUGAUAGUCCCUGCUAUUUGGAUAACCGUAGUAAUUCUAGAGCUAAUACAUGCAUCAACUCCCAACUGCUUGUCGGACGGGAUGUAUUUAUUAGAUUGAAACCAAUGCGCUUCGGCGGUAUUGUGGUGAAUCAUGAUAACUUUGCGGAUCGUAUGACCUCGCGUCGACGAUGAAUCAUUCAAGUUUCUGCCCUAUCAGCUUUGGAUGGUAGGGUAUUGGCCUACCAUGGCUUUGACGGGUAACGGAGAAUUGGGGUUCGGUUCCGGAGAGGGAGCCUGAGAGAUGGCUACCACAUCCAAGGAAGGCAGCAGG
rnacentral:rRNA from 1 species